CAAAGCUCUUAAGAAUGGGGUAAUUGGUCUUAGUGGACUCCUCAAUCCAUUAGGUAACUAACAAACUCAAUCAAGUUAUCCCUAGACAAUAGAUUCAAAACCAAAUCAAGCCACUUCCGUGUGAAUGAUUCUCAUAACUUUAGAACUUCCUAAUCUCAAUUUCCAUUGAUGAAACAUAAUAAAGCAGGCUUUAAACACCAAUCUAUUAAAGUCAAUAAGCAGUCUAAACAUCCAAUGCCUUGGGCUAGAAUCUACAAAUCUCUGAAAUUAGUUGGUUCAGACAUUUCAUCAAACACCUUUUGGAUGGAGAAAGUCUGAAAUCAAUUUUCAAUUGAUCAGAAAGAAAAUAGCAUUAAGAACUCCUAAAACAGAAGGGAAUCAUGCAUAUAAUCACUUAGCUAGCUAAAGAAGAGAGGAAUCCACCUAAACCUAACCCAUCCUCAAGAACUUUGAAGAACACUACUCAAGAACACUGAAGAACAUCAUAGAACAAAACCCAGAAAAUUCAUAAAACCCAGAAAUCAUUAUAAACUUAGCAAAAGAUAGAUCUCAAUGAGAUAAACAAGUUUGCAGAAGAAAUCAAAUCCAAAUUCUCAACACAACAACCAGAAAAUGCAAAAGAAAAUCAAAGAACCCUAAUAUCCAGCGGACAAAGCUCAGAUAUUUUGGGCAAAAACAUAAGAGGUCUAUUUAUAGGCAAUCCUAGGUUGCCCUAAUUGGGAAUAAGACAAAAUAGAUAAGUCGGCGCAGGAGCGUUCGGCCCUAGGCCGAGUAGAAAAGCCGAGUGGCUUGGUCUUGGUCAUACAGCUCGGCCCUAGGCCGAGUGGCUUGGUCGAGUGGCUUCUCUUCAUCCUUAAGUGCACAACUCGGCCUCCAGCCGAGUGCCUUGGUCGAGUAGGCUCCUUGUUCUUCACGUGUGCUCCACUCGGCCUCCAACCGAGUACAUAGGCCGAGUAUACUUCAAAUCCUUCCUUAGGUCCCCCGAACUCGAGUCUGUCCAUCCCUUGUGCUAGAAACCUCCAAGUUGAGUCCAAAAGUACCUAAUUCAUCUGCAAAACACUCCAAAUGCAAGUAUGCUAUGCAAUGCAAUGCAAAAUGUGCAAAAGAAGGAAAAGAGACUAAGAAUGCAUAAAAAGAGACUUGAAACUAAACUAAAUGCAUGAAAAACAAGGGCUUAAAAAGGUUAAAAUCUAGUGUUAUCAACACCCCCAAACUUAGCUCUUUGCUUGUCCUCAAGCAACAAUAGAACUAGGCUAGGAGUGAGGUUUGAAGGUGGGGAUUCAGAACCAAAAUAUGCAUGUAAAAUAGAUAGUCUCAAUGUCCAUGUUGCUAGUUCUAGAGUGCUAGGUUGAAUGAUCUCUACUUAAAAACUUUAGCCAUCUUCUUCACAACACAACCUAAUCUUUCACUUAGUCUAUUCAAGCAUUCAAAUCAGCAUAUUCCCUUUAACAUUCAUUAAGCAAGAACCAUGGAUCAUACUAUACAAUGCAUACUAAACUCAUUUGGCUAAGGGCAAAGGGUCAAGAGACAAAAAUGGUCUCUUAAAGAAUAGGCUUUAGUAACAAGGAAUCUCUCAAGAAUGAUUAAGCUUUAGUAGAAUGCUAAAGGUAAGUCCCAAGUUAUGCAUACAAAGAUAAGAUCUCAUCUACCCAAAGUAUAAUCAAUGAAGACCUAAUGGCAAUCCCCUCUCCCAUCCUAAUUAAGAACUUGACUCUACCCUUUUGCAUUCAUAAUCUUUUGAACUCUUUCUUAACCCAUUCUUUUCUUUUUUUCUUAACUCUAGGAGAAGCUUUUCUUUUCUCUUUGAUACUUCUAGCGGGUUUGGCUUUCUUUAGUACUAAGGUUCUGUUUUUGAUCUCUAUUAAGCUUAGGGCUUUUUACCCUUCUUUAUUAGCUAACAAUAACCCAAUCUCUUUCUUUAACAAUCUCAAACCCUUUACUAGACUUUUUCUAACUUCUUUAGCUUACUUCUCCUAGAAUUCUUUUCCCUUUUCUUGUAAACAAUGAACUCAACCCUUUUUCUAUUUUAAACUCUUCACAACCCAUAGAACAAGUACCCACCUAGUCCUAUCUAGUCCGGAUAACGCGAACUAGAACUACAUGAGAUACUAUCUUUGUCGUUACAAACCUAACACUUUCUACCAAGCUUAAUCGAAAAUAGACCUCACAAACACUCACAAGUGAUAUAUGGCUUGAAAGAAGGCUUAGGUUAGGGUAUGGGGAAACUGCUCUAAAGGUGAGAGACAGCUAUUUGGAUCAACAAGAGUGGUGAAACGAAUAAGAAGAUCCAAAUAUUUUAAGGGUGACCAUGAGUUUAACAAACAAUGCAUAGUAUGAUAAUUAAAAGUCAAAUUAUGGUUCAAAUUAAUAGGGAAUAGCUUCAAAUCACAGCAAGUUUCGACUAAGGAAAGAUCAAAUAUAUGAAUUCAAAAGAUGGUGCGGUUUUACUUCAAGAUCAAUCGGUUAAGCACUAGACAACUAACAACAAGGGCAUUGAAACUAUCUAGUGAACAUUGCAAAUUUACAAGGCUAUGAUCAUCAUUAUUCCCUAUGCAAGUGCAAAAUGCAACAACCUAUAUGAUAACAUUCUAAAAACAGUCCUAUUAAUGCAAAUGCAAACUAUAUGACACUCUAUUUUUUUGGAAUCAUUUUCG
rnacentral:sRNA from 1 species